rnacentral:rRNA from 1 species
GGGGUGGGUAGUAGCAUCUACACAAUAGGGGGGGGAUUUCCUCCUAAGGCUAAGGGACGGCGAGAGACCGAUAGCGAACAAGUACCGUGAGGGAAAGAUGAAAAGAACUUUGAAAAGAGAGUUAAACAGUACGUGAAAUUGUUGAAAGGGAAACGAUUGAAGCCAGUCGUACCUUCGGGUAAUCAGCCUUUCGGGUGCGAUUAUGUGGAGUGUGAGGAGCUUAAACACCUUCAUGUUUUGCAUAUUCGUACUCUUGGGUGUACUUGCCCGUGUGGUUGGUUAACAUCAAUUUUGGGGGUCAUAAAAUGACUGGAGGAAUGUGUACCUUCAAUAAA